rnacentral:tRNA from 1 species
GCAGUGGUUGUUCAAUGGUAGAAUUCUUUCCUUUCAUGUGGGAGACCCGGGUUCGAUUCCCGGCCAGUGUA